UAAUCACUUGUCUUUUAAAUGAAGACCCGUAUGAAUGGCAUCACGAGGGCUCAGCUGUCUCCUCUCUUCGGUCAAUGAAAUUGAUCUGCCCGUGCAGAAGCGGACAUACACACAUUAGACGAGAAGACCCUAUGGAGCUUAAGACAAAAAGCCAAACACGUUAAACGACUUAUCCCCCUUCUGGAGUAAAAAGUACUCAAACUCUGUGAUAUCUGGCUAGAAUGUCUUCGGUUGGGGCGACCUCGGAGGAAAACCAAGCCUCCGCGUGGAAUGGGGUUUAUAAUUAACCCUAGAACUAAGAAGCACAAAUCUAAGUAACAAAAAAUUUGACCAAUAAUGACCCGGAACAAAUCCGAUCAACGAACCAAGUUACCCUAGGGAUAACAGCGCAAUCCCUUCCCAGAGUCCA
rnacentral:rRNA from 1 species